UCGAAAAGCGGAAUCGUCAUUUCGUAGCCAGUUCUGCAUUCUGUCAGGGUUCCUUUCUGGCAUCACGUCUCGAUCGUGGCUUUUUUCUUCCUGUUCGAAGACAUAAUCAAUUCCGUUUCUUAUUCUUGCGUCCAUAGCUUUGGGCACGUCUUUGUUGUAAAGCGGUAAUGAUCUUUUUCCGAUAGUUUUUAGAAUACGUCGAUUUGCGUCAAUUUGCUGUUGAUCCUGCAAAGCUUUACGCCGGGCAAGUUCAAGAAGAACUCUCUGUCGUAACACGUCCAAGGAAUUCACGAUCGACAAUGAUCCAAUGCGUUUUGAUUCCAAUCGUUUCGUCCGGACUACCGUUGAUUCAGGAUCGUUUCCCGACGAGACAAGUGCGUUCGUGUAGUUGUUCCUCCGACGUCUUAUUUAUAGCAAGAAGAACGCGACGCAGGAGCGACAAACGAGAAGGUCAAGUUCGAUGGUGAAUGAAUC
rnacentral:misc_RNA from 1 species